UACCUUACUUCAGUGCUGGAUUUGAACACAAAGGAACUCCGAACACUUUCCGUUAUGUUUGGAAGUAUGUGAUGGACAACGCAGUCUCUGAUCCUCAACAUUCAGAUAACGUAAUGAGGAUUCUAGUUGCAGGAUUGCAAACUGAGUUCAAAUGGUCAGUGCUGCAAGUAAACGUAAAGGACUUCUGAAGUCUUCACGCUGUGUUUGAAAGUAUGAGAUGAAUGUCGCAGUCCUUCUGGUCCUCAACGUUCAACUUAUAUAAUGAAGACUCUACUUGCAUUAUUGCAUCUGAGUUAAAAUGGGCAUAUUGCUUGAACUAAAAGCUAAUCUACUCUGAAGAAAUGCCGUUAUGAUUAGGAAAUAGAUGUAUGUCGGAGUAACUUUAGGGCUCACCGUUUCAAUGUUUGCAUGAAGACUGCAGUGGCAAUAAUAAAACUUGAUUGUUAUGGUAAAUAAGUGUGUGGUCAUGAAAGAAAAUAAAUCUGUUGUUUAGUUGCUUAA